AGUCGAACGAAGAUCCGGAGCUUGCUCCGGAAUCCUUAGUGGCGAACGGGUGAGUAACGCGUGGGAAUCUACCUAGAAAUGGGGAAUAACUAUUGGAAACGAUAGCUAAUACCGCAUAAUCCCUUCGGGGGAAAGGCUUCGGUCGUUUUUAGAUGAGCCCGCGUUAGAUUAGGCUGUUGGCGAGGUAAUGGCUCACCAAACCUACAAUCUAUAGCUGGUCUGAGAGGAUGAUCAGCCACACUGGGACUGAGACACGGCCCAGACUCCUACGGGAGGCAGCAGUGGGGAAUAUUGGACAAUGGGGGAAACCCUGAUCCAGCAAUGCCGCGUGAGUGAUGAAGGCCUUAGGGUUGUAAAGCUCUUUCAGAAGUGAAGAUGAUGACGGUAACUUCAGAAGAAGCUCCGGCUAACUCCGCGCCAGCAGCCGCGGUAAUACGGAGGGAGCUAGCGUUGUUCGGAAUUACUGGGCGUAAAGAGCGUGUAGGCUGUUAGGUAAGUCAGAGGUGAAAUCCCUAAGCACAACUUAGGAACUGCCUUUGAUACUAUCUUACUAGAGAUCGAGAGAAGUUGGCGGAAUUCCAAGUGUAGAGGUGGAAUUCGUAGAUAUUUGGAAGAACACCAGUGGCGAAAGCGGCCAACUGGCUCGUUUCUGACGCUGAGACGCGAAAGCGUGGGUAGCAAACAGGAUUAGAUACCCU
rnacentral:rRNA from 1 species